CAACUAAGCACUCUAAAACGUAGUGGCUACAAAAUAAUUUAUUACUAUUAAUUCUGUUUUCAGGAUAUUUUAAAUUUACUUCAUGGAUCACCAAGUAGUUCCAUAAUACAAUCAAGUAUCUGUACGUUAUUGAAAAUUACGUCAAGACCAUGUUGGUGUAACUUGGUUUCUAUCAUGCUACUGAUCAUGGAUGUUUGCUUAUAAGGCUAUACACACUCAUAUAAAGCUUUGAAGUUCUUAUUAUUCAUUGUGAUGUUUUAUUUGAGGAGCAGGAGAACAUACAGUCAGCAAAGUGUUGGGCUAUGUUAAUAAAAAUGACACCUUACCGAAACUAGACACAUGAGAGGAAACUCACAUUCUUCAAGGAAAUGUUCAAGAAUGGAAUUCUCAUUAACCUUGGGCAUCCUCCAGAUGCUCCUUUGAUAAUAGUGACUACCAUGCACGCCAUGUGGUUGAGCCCACUGACCCAUACAAUACACGGUGUGACUGCACAUGGGAAGGCUAAAAUCAAAGUUUCUGAACAGUGGGUUGCCCAAUUUCAGAUGAACCUCUUCAGACUCAAUAUUUUUCUUAGCCUUUGUUGAGCAAACGCUCAACAUGGCUCACAUCAUGGUUUUUUUUUUUUUUUUUCUUUAGUUACUUAUCCAGAUGAUGGGAUCAUGUGCAUUCGUGAUGAAAUAAUGUGUCCUGUGUUGACUUUGAUUUUAAAGACAUUUGCAUUGUCCCCACAUAAAGGUUCUAUGUCAUCUAGCUUUUGAAGAUAUAUUGAUUUUAUUUUUUUAUUUGUAUUCUGCACCACAUAUGUGUGUCUAGUACUUGUGGAUGUCAGAGAGGCAACUAGAGUUAUGGAUGAAUGUGAGCCACCACGUGGGUUUUGGGAACUGAACCCACGUCUUCUGCAAAAAUAUUAAAUGUUUUAACCACUGAACCAACUCUUCAAUCAUCUGUGCCAUUUUUGUGGACAGUGGUAGUCAUUACUAAAAUACCAUCAAGGCUUUAUUUAACCAUAGAUUUAAAAUUAAUGAUAUCAUUCUUCUCCAAGCAUUUAACUUUCAGAAAACAGAAAACCUGUGAAAACCCAGGAAGACAGAUAGCAUUUAUUUUGAUUUUUAUGAUGACAUCUCACUCUGUAGCUUAGCAUCGCCUUGAGUUCUCAUUCUGUCUCAGUUUCUCAAUAGCUAGGAGAUUUGAUGUUUUUAUUGAACUCCUAUUUCUAGAUCCUGGUACAGUGGUUGGCACCUAUGGUGCUAGUUACCUAUUCCUUGAAUGAAUGAAGACUACAGAUAAGAUCUUUCUAGUAGACAGAGAAAUUAUAAUACAGUCUACCAGACCUUAAAUUUUCACUCACAUAACCCUGCGAAAAUAUGGCUAUUAAGUUCUUUUCUUUUAUUAUUUUGUUUCCUGGUCUUCCUCCAUCCAUGAACUUCUCAUAUUUACCGUUUGAAAGAAUUAAAAGAUUAAGUUUCUUAUUUAUUUGUGUAGGUGUGUUUGUGUGUGAGGGUUUCUCUUCCAUGGUGCACAUGUAAAGGUUAGUGAAUAACUUUUGGGAUUGUUCUCCUGCCAUAUAGGUACCGAGGAAUUGGACUCAGGCCAUCCAGUUUGGCAGCAAGUAACUUUACACGCUUAGCCAUCUCUAUGAAUGUGUACUACUGAUAGGGACACAGCCUUGUCAAGGACCCCAGAGGAGGCACAGACCCAUAGAGGAACAGCAAAGCCUUCCAUCUCAUGGUGAAGCUUGAGGAAAAAUGAAUCCGGGUCAUGUGUGGAUGUUGAUAUGGUAUAUAGAAAUUGUCCUUCAUAGUUUUCUCCUCCAGAUAUUUACAGCCUAAAGACUGCUCCCAAAUAGAGACUGCUCCUACCAUAAUUAGCCAGUCCUGUCUCCUUGAUCUAUCUGUACACCUUGGCUGUAUACUUUGGGAUCCAUAAAUCUUGCCUCCUCACCUAUCUGUAUGUAACCCCAUCUCCAAAUUCAGCUGUAUGCAGUAAUCCCAUUUCUCGAUCAAUUCUACAUAAGAAACAUGCUGGGACUGGGCUGGGGGCUUCAGUUUCUCUGGAAGAGACCCCAGACCACAUGACUCUAGCUCCCUAGCUACCACCCUUUCUCUUCUUCCUCCCUUCUUUUCUUCCUCCCUUCUCUUCUCUUCUCUUCUCUUCUCUUCUCUUCUCUUCUCUUCUCUUCUCUUCUCUUCUCUUCUCUUCUCUUCUUUCUUUCUUUCUUUCUUUCUUUCUUUCUUUCUUUCUUUCUCUUUCUCUCUCUUUCUCUCUCUCUCUCUCUCUCUCUCUCUCUCUCAUUCUUUCUCUCUCUCUUCCCCUCCCUCUCUCCCUCCCUUUCUCCCUCCCUUCCUUCCUUUCUUUCCUCUAUCUCUUCCCCUCCCUCCCUCCUUCCCUCCUUUCCUUCUUUGUCUCUCUCCUCUGUCUCUUUCCAUCUUUAUGUCUUUUCUCCUCAUUGUACUCCAGGCAGGUCUGUCCCUGGAGCUGAAAAUGGAUGUAGCACACUAGAUACUAUACUUUU
rnacentral:lncRNA from 1 species